CGCGUAGGCGGUCUGGUCAGUCAGAGGUGAAAGCUCCGAGCUCAACUCGGAAAUGGCCUUUGAAACUACCAGGCUUGAGUGGUUCAGGGGAAAGCGGAAUUCCUGGUGUAGCGGUGAAAUGCGUAGAUAUCAGGGAGAACACCCGUGGCGAAGGCGGCUUUCUGGGGACCAACUGACGCUGAGGCGCGAAAGCUAGGGGAGCGAACAGGAUUAGAUACCCUGGUAGUCC
rnacentral:rRNA from 1 species